GAGGUAUUAGUAUAUUUGAGUAUUGCUCUUUUUCGCAGAGUAGGAUUUAUACCUUU
rnacentral:tRNA from 1 species